GAGUCUGAUCAUGGCUCAGGACGAACGCUGGCGGCAUGCCUAACACAUGCAAGUCGAACGGACAUGGCGAGGAUAUAGCGAUAUAUUUUGAGCUAUGUCAGUGGCGAACGGGUGAGUAACACGUGAGCAACCUGCCCUUUACUACGGGAUAACGCUCGGAAACAGGCGCUAAUACGGUAUAAGACCACACUAUGGCAUCAUAGAGCGGUAAAAGCGAUUUAGCGGUAAAGGAUGGGCUCGCGUCCAAUUAGCUGGUUGGUAGGGUAACGGCCUACCAAGGCGACGAUUGGUAGCCGACCUGAGAGGGUGAUCGGCCACACUGGAACUGAGACACGGUCCAGACUCCUACGGGAGGCAGCAGUGGGGAAUAUUGGGCAAUGGAGGAAACUCUUACCCAGCAAUGCCGCGUGAGCGAAGAAGGUCUUCGGAUUGUAAAGCUCUUUGAUUGGGGACGAAGUAAGUGACG
rnacentral:rRNA from 1 species